rnacentral:lncRNA from 1 species
GUAGUAUUUGAAUUAUUUUUCUUCCUGGCUGUUUACAGUAUUUUAUCCUUGGCUUGGAGCCUCUUGAAUUUAGCUAUUAUAUUCUUGGAAGUUGUCAUUUGAAAAUUUCUUUCUGUAGGUGAUCUGUAUAUUUAUUCAAUUUCUAUUUUAUUUUCUGUUCAAGAAAUAUGUGGGCAGUUUUCUUUGAUGAUUUCUUGUAUUAUGAUGUCCAAACUUUUUUUUUUUAUCACGGCUUUCAGGAAGUACAAUAAUUCUUAAAUUGUCUCUCCUGGAUCUAUUUUCCAGGUCAAUUAUUUUUUCAAUAAGAUAUUUCAUCUUUUCUUCCUUUUUUUCAUUCUUUUGAUUUUUUUUUUUUUUUUUUUUGGUUCUUGAUGUCUCAUGAAAUUUACACAGUGAUACCAAAAGCUUCACUCAGGCCUGAGGCUAGAAUUUGAGUAAUCCCUGACCUGGCCAAGCUCAGAGUACCAAAAGUUUAUGCCCAAACUUGAGGCAAGUCUUCAAGCUUUCAGCAUCUCGAAGGUUAAUUGAAUAAGGAGUGGGAAGUGGCCCUCAGAGCUCCCAGCCCUCAAGGCAUCAUACCAUCUUGGAAGAACUGAAAUUGGCAGAAACCCAGAAUAUAAUAGCAGCAUCAAGGAAGGACUGAAGUUUAAGGGGGUACCCUAACUUCCUAGAAAACAGAGGCUACCUAUAAAAACGUAGGAAAAAUGAGCAGACAAAAAAAACUCACUCUAAAGAAUUUUUAUGGAGUCAGAGCAAGGUAAAAACACAGAAGGGGACAGUGAAAGCAAAGCAAACACAUGCAAAGUCCAGAAGAAAAACAUGGAUUAGACACAGAUUCUGGAAAAGCUCCCGAAAGAAUCAGAGAGGAGAACCAGGUUUUCACGAAGCCAAGAAGAUGGAAAGAAUAUGGAAUAAAGACAUCAAGAAUGCAGGCAAAUUUGUAAUAAUUGAUCAGGUUAGAGAUAGGGAGAACUUCAGCAGGCACAAUGGAAAGAGAGGAUAG